rnacentral:rRNA from 1 species
CUUUGGAGAUGGGAACACGGAGAAGGUGAGCAUCAUCUGGCCCGGGUACUACUCCCUGAUCUUGGAACCGGUGCCCCCGCCGAGGGAGUGGCACACCUGGAAGCCUCAGGACAAGCACAUGAACAAAAGGGAAAGUACCUUGGAGGCAGCGCAAUUCUCGGCCUCCUCGCGGACGACGUCGAGGACGGAGUCGAUGAGCUCCCCGCCCUUGGUGUAGUGGCCCUUGGCCUAGUUGUUGCCGGCGCCGGACUGGCCGAAGACAAAGUUGUCGGGGCGGAAGAUCUGGCCGUAGGGCCCCUUGUGCACGGAGCCCAUGGUGUCGGGCUCGAGAUCCAUGAGCACGCACCGUGGGAG